rnacentral:rRNA from 1 species
CCCCUACGGGGCGCAGCAGUGAGGAAUAUUGGUCAAUGGGCGCAAGCCUGAACCAGCCAAGUCGCGUGAGGGAUGACGGUCCUAUGGAUUGUAAACCUCUUUUGUCGGGGAGCAAGGCCCGCCACGUGUGGCGGGAAGGAGAGUACCCGAAGAAAAAGCAUCGGCUAACUCCGUGCCAGCAGCCGCGGUAAUACGGAGGAUGCGAGCGUUAUCCGGAUUUAUUGGGUUUAAAGGGUGCGCAGGCGGAGGUGCAAGUCAGCGGUCAAAUUGCGGGGCUCAACCCCGUACUGCCGUUGAAACUGCAU